UGUGGUGUGCGGAUGGCUUACGGUCUAUGUGACUGAGGAAGCUCUCCCCAUGCAGAGUACGUGUGGCGUAAUGCCUGAUUCGGAACAGAAACGAUACUGCUGCAGCACAUAAAGCGAUGACACUACGAGCGUGCUGGUGCAGAUGAAACGGCCGAUGCGCGUACGGUGAGCAUGCAAGGCAAUAAUAGCCGCUUAGUCAAAUGCCAUCUAAAACAAAAGGGGGGCUACGGCACACCACA
rnacentral:RNase_P_RNA from 1 species